CCUAAGCCGAGGCCGAAAGGCGUAGGCGAUGGACAACAGGUUGAUAUUCCUGUACCACCUCCUCACCAUUUGAGCAAUGGGGGGACGCAGGAGGAUAGGGUAAGCGCGGUAUUGGAUAUCCGCGUCCAAGCAGUUAGGCUGGGAAAUAGGCAAAUCCGUUUCCCAUAAGGCUGAGCUGUGAUGGCGAGCGAAAUAUAGUAGCGAAGUUCCUGAUUCCACACUGCCAAGAAAAGCCCCUAGCGAGGUGAGAGGUGCCCGUACCGCAAACCGACACAGGUAGGCGAGGAGAGAAUCCUAAGGUGAUCGAGAGAACUCUCGUUAAGGAACUCGGCAAAAUGACCCCGUAACUUCGGGAGAAGGGGUGCUCUGUUAGGGUGCAAGCCCGAGAGAGCCGCAGUGAAUAGGCCCAGGCGACUGUUUAGCAAAAACACAGGUCUCUGCGAAGUCGUAAGGCGAAGUAUAGGGGCUGACGCCUGCCCGGUGCUGGAAGGUUAAGAGGAGCGCUUAGCGUAAGCGAAGGUGCGAAUUGAAGCCCCAGUAAACGGCGGCCGUAACAAUAACGGUCCUAAGGUAGCGAAAUUCCUUGUCGGGUAAGUUCCGACCCGCACGAAAGGCGCAACGAUCUGGGCACUGUCUCAACGAGAGACUCGGUGAAAUUAUAGUACCUGUGAAGAUGCAGGUUACCCGCGACAGGACGGAAAGACCCCGUGGAGCUUUACUGCAGCCUGAUAUUGAAUGUUGGUACAGCUUGUACAGGAUAGGUAGGAGCCUUGGAAACCGGAGCGCCAGCUUCGGUGGAGGCAUCGGUGGGAUACUACCCUGGCUGUAUUGACCUUCUAACCCGCCGCCCUUAUCGGGCGGGGAGACAGUGUCAGGUGGGCAGUUUGACUGGGGCGGUCGCCUCCUAAAAGGUAACGGAGGCGCCCAAAGGUUCCCUCAGAAUGGUUGGAAAUCAUUCGCAGAGUGUAAAGGCACAAGGGAGCUUGACUGCGAGACCUACAAGUCGAGCAGGGACGAAAGUCGGGCUUAGUGAUCCGGUGGUUCCGCAUGGAAGGGCCAUCGCUCAACGGAUAAAAGCUACCCCGGGGAUAACAGGCUUAUCUCCCCCAAGAGUCCACAUCGACGGGGAGGUUUGGCACCUCGAUGUCGGCUCAUCGCAUCCUGGGGCUGUAGUCGGUCCCAAGGGUUGGGCUGUUCGCCCAUUAAAGCGGUACGCGAGCUGGGUUCAGAACGUCGUGAGACAGUUCGGUCCCUAUCCGUCGCGGGCGCAGGAAAUUUGAGAGGAGCUGUCCUUAGUACGAGAGGACCGGGAUGGACGCACCGCUGGUGUACCAGUUGUUCUGCCAAGGGCAUCGCUGGGUAGCUAUGUGCGGACGGGAUAAGUGCUGAAAGCAUCUAAGCAUGAAGCCCCCCUCAAGAUGAGAUUUCCCAUUCCGCAAGGAAGUAAGAUCCCUGAAAGAUGAUCAGGUUGAUAGGUCUGAGGUGGAAGUGUGGCGACACAUGGAGCUGACAGAUACUAAUCGAUCGAGGACUUAACC
rnacentral:rRNA from 1 species